rnacentral:rRNA from 1 species
GACGAACGCUGGCGGCGUGCUUAACACAUGCAAGUCGAACGGUGAAGCGCCUUCCUUUUUGGUGGGUGUGGAUGCGUGGCGAACGGGUGAGUAACACGUGAGUAACCUGCCCCCUUCUUCUGGAUAACCGCAUGAAAGCGUGGCUAAUACGGGAUAUUCUGGGUCUGUCGCAUGAUGGGUCUGGGAAAGAUAUUGGUUCGGUGGGGGAUGGGCUCGGGGCCUUUCUGCUUGUUGGGGGGGUGAGGGCCUUCCAAGGCUGUGACGGGUAGCCGGCCUUGCAGGGUGGACGGCCUGACAGGGUGUGAGGCACGACCGAGACUGAGACGGGGGGCAGCAGUGGGGAAUAUGGCACAAUGGGGGAAAGUCUGAUGCGGCGGCGCCGCGUGAGGGAUGAAGGCCUGCGGGUGGUGAACCUCUUUCGCCAGUGAAGCGGGCCUGCCUCGUAUGUGGGUGGGUUGACGGUAGCUGGAUAAGAAGCGCCGGCUAACUACGUG